rnacentral:rRNA from 1 species
CGCCAUGGCGGCCGCGGGAAUUCGAUUAGAGUUUGAUCAUGGCUCAGAACGAACGCUGGCGGCAGGCCUAACACAUGCAAGUCGAACGCUCGUAGCAAUACGAGAGUGGCAGACGGGUGAGUAACACGUGGGAACCUUCCCUAUGGUUCGGAAUAGCUCAGGGAAACUUGAGGUAAUACCGGAUAAGCCCUUCGGGGGAAAGAUUUAUCGCCAUUGGAUGGGCCCGCGUCGGAUUAGCUAGUUGGUGGGGUAACGGCCUACCAAGGCGACGAUCCGUAGCUGGUCUGAGAGGAUGAUCAGCCACACUGGGACUGAGACACGGCCCAGACUCCUACGGGAGGCAGCAGUGGGGAAUAUUGGACAAUGGGCGCAAGCCUGAUCCAGCCAUGCCGCGUGAGUGACGAAGGUCUUCGGAUUGUAAAGCACUUUAAGUUGGGAGGAAGGGCAUUAACCUAAUACGUUAGUGUUUUGACGUUACCGACAGAAUAAGCACCGGCUAACUCUGUGCCAGCAGCCGCGGUAAUACGAAUCACUAGUGAAUUCGCGGCCGCCUGCAGGUCGACCAUAU